ACCCUACCAGAAUACACUUUUUUUUAUUAACUGUCUGGACCUUUGCUGAUUACAUUGUCCGGAAUGUGGAGUAUCGCAUUUGAGAAGAGGAUUGGAUCCUAGCCAUAACAUAAAUAUAAGGGUAAUUACAUCCAUGCUGAGAAAGAUUUAGGAAUGAUAGUAAGUUCAUUUGAGUGAGUGGUUUGGGCCAAACUUGAUAGAGAAUAGUCCAGGAAGACAUUUACUAUAAACAGUAGAUUAAAUGUUCUUGCCUGGUUAAUUACAUUUGAACUCUGUUAAUGACUGAAUCACUCAAACUGCUUAAUUGUAUUAUUAGAUGCACAUUUAAGUUAUGUAUUACAUGUCUUUAGUGGUGAUCAGAAUUUUAUCAGUUCCUCUGUCUUUCUUUAUACCAAGUAUGACUCAUAAACCCAGUAUUAAUUUGCCAAGAGAUUGGCAUACUAUUUGUAUAUAUGCUUUUCUUUCAAAUAAUCUGGAUUCCCAAUGCCCACAAUCAUUGAUCCUAAAGAAAAUGUGAGAGUAGGUAGAUAAACUCAAACAUCCCUACCAUCACCCCUGGUAGGAAAUCACUGGUGUAAUGUAUGAUAUUAACAUCUGCACCAAUUACUCUUAUAGGUGGAACAAUCCAAAGUUUUAAUCAGAGAAGGUGGUGUUCAGUUGCUGCUUACAAUAGUUGAUACCCCAGUAUUUGGAGAUGCAGUGGAUAACAGUAAUUGGUAAAAAGGAUUUGUCCUCACAACUUUCCAGUGUAUUUGGGGUACUGGGGUGGUUAAACUUUCUCUUCUUAACAUUUUAAAACUCUUCUUAGCAAAGGUCACCAAACUUCAAGUAACAUGACAGGUUUGUAUACCAACUUUGCCACUUAUUUGACAAAGUUUAACUUCAAAGUUAAACAAAGAAGUUUAACUUCUUUGAACCCAUUUACUUUUUGAUAAAAUGGAGAUAAUACCUAUCAUAAAAUUGUUUUGAAGACAUAUUCCAAAAUAACGUAGCUAGAUAGAAGAAUUCUCAUUAUUGGAAGAAAUUUAAAAUGCUUUGCUUUAAUUUUAUCCAUUUGUAUAAAUUCUAUCACAAUCCUAAUUUAAACCUGAUAUUUAGACCUUCAGUUUUUCCAUAAGUCCUAAGUGAAGAAAACAACUAUGAAAUUUUAGUCUGAAGUAAUUAUCUUAGUAUUUUAUAAAUAACUUUAAUUUUGUUUGAAUUCACAUUGUUUUUGAGGUAUUUUUCUGUCAACUCUUAAAACUCCUAAGUUCAUCAUGAAGUUUUUAUAUUAUUUAAGUAAUCUCUCAUUUGAAAUUUGAAACUGAAUAUAAUCGUUUUCAUAUUAUGAAGUGUGUUAUUAAUACACUUACUAGUGCCAAUAGUAUGCUAAUAAUUUAGCUGUGUUUCAACAAUAAAUAUUUUCUUUCAUUUGGAAAGUUUUGAAAUAAUGAAUAAAGAUUUAUUCAACACAAUUUAUAUUUUUGAAUCUUUAUAUAGAAUAACUUGACAUAUCUUCCAUUGGUUAAUUCAUUUUGCCUAUUUGAAAAUAUUGAUUAUUGUCCUUUAACAGUCAUCAGUUAAUUCAUAUGUAGAAUUGCAACUUAAUUGUUUUGUUUAUUUGCAUUCUAUAGCUGGCAGCCUGCUAUCAAUUACAUUGAUAGUAAAUUUGAGGACUACCUAAAUGCAGAAUCGCAAGUGAACAGAUGUCAGAUGCCUGGUAACAGGGUGCAGUGUUGUUUAUACUUCAUUGCUCCUUCAGGACAUGGCUCUGUUCACGGAAAGGGCCUGGGAGCUGCAACACCUCAACAGCAACGAGCACACCUGCUACCUAGAACUUGGUUUCUAAAAACCAUCCUCCUCUAAAAGGAAACAGAGCUCUUUGAAGAAAUGAGACAGAUCUCAUUAUGUUGCCCAGGGUGAUCCUUGAUCUCCUGGCCUCAAGUGAUCCUCCAACCUUGGUCUCCCAAAGUGCUGGGAUUACAGAUGUGAACUACCACACCCAGUCAACGUGCAGAAGGUUUUCAGUUUGAUGUAGUCUGAUGUAGUCUCAUGUAUUUAUCCUUGUUGUUGUUGCCUGAGCUUUUGGUGUGAUAUCCAAAAAUAUCAUUGCCAAGAUCAAUAUCAAGAAACUUUCCCCCUAUGUUUCUUACAGAAAUUUUAUGGUUUCAGAUUUUUCAUCUAUUUUGAGUAUAUUUUUGUGUAUGAUGUAAGAUAAGGGUCCAGUCUCCCCAGUGUUGGAUAUCCAAUUUUCAUAACACCAUUUAUUGAAGAGAUUAUUCUUUCUCCACUGUGUUUUCUUGAUGUCCUUGUCAAAAAUUAGUUGACUUUUAUAUGCUUGGGUUUAUUUCUGGGCUCUAUUCUGUUUCAUUGCUUUACAUCUCUGUUUUCAUGCCAGUGCCACAGUGUUUUGAUUACUAUAGCUUUGUAAUAUAAUUUGAAAUCAGAAUGUGUAAUACCUAUAACUUUGUUUUUUGCUCUAAAGAUUUAUUUAUUUAUUUAUUUAUUUUUGCCAUUUCAGGUCUUUUGUGGUUUCAUAUGAAUUUCAGAAUUGUUUUUCCUAUUUCUGUGAAAAAUGCCAUUGACAUUUUGAUAGGGAUUGUGUUGAAUCUAUAUAUUGCUUUGGAUAGUAUGGAUGUUUUAACACUAUUAAUUCUCCCAAUCCAUGAACAUGAAAUAUCUUUCCAUUC
rnacentral:lncRNA from 1 species